rnacentral:rRNA from 1 species
UACGUAGGUGGCAAGCGUUGUCCGGAAUUAUUGGGCGUAAAGCGCGCGCAGGCGGCCUCUUAAGUCUGAUGUGAAAGCCCCCCGGCUUCAACCGGGGAGGGCCAUUGGAAACUGGGAGGCUUGAGUAUAGGAGAGAAGAGUGGAAUUCCACGUGUAGCGGUGAAAUGCGUAGAGAUGUUGGAGGAACACCAGUGGCGAAGCGACUCUUUGGCCUAUAACUGACGCUGAGGCGCGAAAGCGUGGGGAGCAAACAGG